rnacentral:rRNA from 1 species
UACGUAGGGUGCAGGCGUUAAUCGGAAUUACUGGGCGUAAAGCGUGCGCAGGCGGUUUGCUAAGACAGGUGUGAAAUCCCCGGGCUUAACCUGGGAACUGCGCUUGUAACUGGCAAGCUUGAGUGUGGCAGAGGGGGGUGGAAUUCCACGUGUAGCAGUGAAAUGCGUAGAGAUCGUAAGGAAGGCCAGUGGCGAAGGCGAGUUCCUGGACAGUGACUGACGCUGAGGCACGAAGGCCAGGGGAGCAAACGGG